AUCUCUUAAAACCCAUGCCCUUAAAUAUUUGUGGUCCUGUGGGAUGUGACCAGCAUCAGGGAUGGCAGACUUGAAGGCACUCUGGGUCAGUCUGCUUUCUUUAAGUCUUCUCCAAACACUAGGUUUGGCAAAUGAGUCUUGUGUCUUGCCAACCCACCACCACCCCACCCUGUGCCUGCAAUUUGUAAACCUCUGUGUAUUUUCAGGGAAAUGUAGUCCAUAUGUUUCUGAUUGAUUUACACUUAACUCAUCUAAACGUUGCUUUGCUAGUGUUAUUUGAUGUCCAAAGGGCCUUAGAGUCUGUUUACAUCUGUCUAAGCUGCUUCCCCCCCACCCCCACCUCUGAGGCUCAGGAAGAUCUGUUUUGCCAAGAAUAAACUAAAUUGAACCACCCUACUGGCCCUCCCGUCUAUGCCCCCCCCCCAAGUUGGAAUAGACUCAGGUUGAAUCUGAAAUAAAGAUCUAAAGAAGCUGUGUUUGAAGUUGACCAAACACUACUGCAUACUUCUCUAAGAGGAAUUGGAGCCCUAGGCAUCCCUGCUGGGAGCUGCACCAUUGUUGACACCAGCUCCCAGGGGGUAGCUUUCUUUUCCAACCCUUUCCCUCUCAGCCCUGUUCUCCGCUGCAACUGGCCAGCGACCUGCCUCCAUUGUCUCUUCCCAUAGGAUCCUGUCACUCAGAAGAAUGGAAUAGAUUUUCUACAGUGAACAAAGAGAUCCAAUUCUCCGAUUCUCCUGCCAGAUUGGUGAUAACAUCUUGUCAAGCAAGACUGUGGUUUUCAAACAAAACAAAAGCAGCCUUCAACCCCCGAAAGGUAUCAGGAAACGUGUCCUCAGCAGAGGGAACGUUGACGCAUCCAUGCGGAAGGAAUGGUUCCUGGUGCAUCACAGCCAGGGCUUAAAGAUCUGUUUCUAUAUUUAAUUACUUUUUAUUUGCAUUAAAUUUAAAAAUGCUUUUUAUUUAUUCA